rnacentral:tRNA from 1 species
UCCUUUGUGGCUCAGCUGGUAAAGCAUCCGCCUGCAAUGCGGGAGACCUGGGUUGGAUCCCUGGGUCAGGAA